rnacentral:lncRNA from 8 species
GAUGAUGAGCUCAGUGGUGUUUGUGUUUCCCAGAAUCCUCUGCAGACCCUGGCAGACAGGCCCUGAGCACACUUCUGGAGCGCAUCCGGAGCUGCAGAGAACCCCGCACAGGGGUGGAGGAGGAGGAGAGCAGAGGUGUGGAGGAGGAGGAGGAGGAGGAGGAGCAGCAGAGUGCAGGUGUGGAGGAGCCGGCAAACACUGAUGGUCCUGAUGUCUCUGAUGAUGCUGUAGUGGCUGGACACCUGCUGCCCGCUGACCACACACACACUCAGGUGGAGGAGACGGCUGAGAGACAGAGCGGAGCACACACACACAUACAGGAGGCUGUGCUGCGGCAGCAGGAGGAGCAGCUGGCUCUGCUGGAGGAGCUGGAGGAGCAGCGGCGGGAGCUCCAGCAGCAGCUCACACACACUCUACACACACUGCAGGAGCCUGAACACCAGCAGGAGGAGAUCAGCAGCACACAUCCUGAACCACCUGCACAGGCUGAGUCAGACACAUUCAGACUCCAUCAGUACCAGCAGAGGCUCCUGCAGCAGAACCGACUGCACAGGCAGUUCAUUGCUGAAGCUCAGCGGCGGCUGCAGGAGCACCAGCAGAGUCUGAGGACACACUCCAGCAUGAGCAGCGCUGCAGAGACAGAGACAACACAGAAGAGGAAGAGGAUCUGUGUGUCUCUGCAGCUCCGAGAGCAGAGUCUGUCUGCAUCUGCACACACUCCUGCUGGAGGAUCUGCGUCUGCACACACUCCUGCUGGAGGAUCUGCGUCUGCACACACAGGAGGAUCACCACAGGACAGCCACACUGAGGAGGAACAUGCUGCUCCUGAGCCGGACACACUUCCUCUUCCUCCUUCACUUCCUCUUCCUACUAAUUUUCCAACUUCUCUUCCUCCUUCAGUUCCGCCCUCUUUUCCUCUUCGCCCUUCACUUCCUCCUGCUCUUCCAGCCUCUCUUCCUCCUUCGCUUGCUCCUUCUCUUCCUCUUCCUCCUCCUGCUGUGGUUCUGGAGCUCCUGCGCAGUCGUCAUCAUCACACACCGCUCCAGUCUGCAGAGGUCACGGGGUCAGGCUCCGGAUCAGCCUCUUCCUCUGGCCCUGGAUCAGUUCAUCAGAUGAGGAGACAGAGAGACGCCCUGCAGGCCCUGAUCGCUGCACACACACAGUCUCCAGUGUCCAGCUCUGCAGAUCAGCCGAUGCUCAACACUUUGCUGAGCCUCAUCACGGAGAGCGAUGACCAGCGGGACGCACACACCCUGUCAGACGGAGCGCCGGCUGCGCACACACACACUGCAGACGGUGUGUGUGCUCCUGCCCCAGUGCAUCGUGGGAGAGUGUGUCCUCCGGUGUCCCGUCCGCCGGUGCGUCUGGCCUUCCUCCAGCAGAUGGAGCAGCACGAGCUCAGUGCCAUACAGGAGGUGGACAGCCCAGCCAACCUGAGCCUGGACACCGGUGUGCAGGAGCAGGAGAGUGUGUCCAGCAGUGUGUCUCUGCCCGUCUGUCUGGUGACUGAGGAUGAGUUGGGUCAGAGUGAGGGCUCGCAGCUCACCGGACGCAUCAGCCGCAUGUCCUGGAGACACACACUGAUGCAGGAGUCCCGCAGCGCAAGUCAGUCCAGUGUUAAGAAGCAGCAGGUACGAAUGUUCAGAUCACACCAGACCAAACUGAUCACACACACACACACACACGCAUAUACACACACACACUUGUAGCGUUCACUCUGAGACUCUCAGCUCUGUGGGUCAAUGAUGAGAACUAGCCAAAUCUGAGUGUGUGUGUCACACCACUGAUUAUUUGCGAGAAGCUUCUGUGUCUGUGUCUGUGUGUGUGUGUGUGUGUGUGUGUGUGUGUCAGGUUGUACAGUCAGCUGGAGGAGGUGAAGCAGAGGAAGCAGAUGCAGAUCCGCCAGCAGUCAAACGCCAACAACAGAGAGAGAGCCAGAGACUUCCACAGGAAGACCCUGGAGAACCUGAGGGCCAGACCCAAGAGCUGAUCAGCUGAGCGCAUCAGAUCUGUCCACCUCUGAUUACAGCAGGGUCAGUCUCUCAUGUGCUCAUUGGUUGAUUUGUGAUUGUCAGACGUGCUUCACAUUACUGAGGGACUGAUGGACGGAGGGACACCAGCUUGAGCCGGGAGAAGCUCUGGAACUCAUGAACUCUCCAUCUACUGUUUACUGUCUGUGUUCUACAUUGGAGUUUAUUAAACACGUAUAUUUUAUCUAUGCGGUCGGGAAUUAUAUUAAACUGUUUAUUUUGUUAAGAGUCUGCCCUUUCAUCACUAUAUACAGCACCUGCACAUCAACAUGCUCAUGCACACCUGAUUACCAAACCACAGCAGUGCGUGAGAGAGAGACACAGCCUCAUUCUUUAUGUGCGUGCGUGCGUGCGAGCCUCAUUCCUUCCCUUUGUGUGUGUGUGUGUGUGUGUGUGUGUGUGUGAGAGAGGGCGAGCCUCAUUCCUUUAGUGUGUGUGAGAGCGAGAGAAAUAAAGAGCCUCAUUCCUUC